rnacentral:rRNA from 1 species
GAUGAACGCUGGCGGCGUGCUUAACACAUGCAAGUCGAACGAUGAAGCCCAGCUUGCUGGGUGGAUUAGUGGCGAACGGGUGUGUAACACGUGAGUAACCUGCCCUUAACUCUGGGAUAAGCCUGGGAAACUGGGUCUAAUACCGGAUAGGAGCGUCCACCGCAUGGUGGGUGUUGGAAAGAUUUAUCGGUUUUGGAUGGACUCGCGGCCUAUCAGCUUGUUGGUGAGGUAAUGGCUCACCAAGGCGACGACGGGUAGCCGGCCUGAGAGGGUGACCGGCCACACUGGGACUGAGACACGGCCCAGACUCCUACGGGAGGCAGCAGUGGGGGAUAUUGCACAAUGGGCGGAAGCCUGAUGCAGCGACGCCGCGUGAGGGAUGACGGCCUUCGGGUUGUAAACCUCUUUCAGUAGGGAAGAAGCGAAAGUGACGGUACCUGCAGAAGAAGCACCGGCUAACUACGUG